UGGGACGUCGGCAAGCGGUAAGCCCUCGGACUUUGGCUCCGAUAUUCGCAGGUUCGAAUCCUGCCGUCCCAG
rnacentral:tRNA from 1 species